rnacentral:rRNA from 1 species
GACGAACGCUGGCGGCGUGCCUAAUACAUGCAAGUCGAACGCAGUGGGGACGGGUGAGUAACACGUGGGUAACCUACCAUAAGAGGGGAUAACACUUGGAAACAGGUGCUAAACCGAUACUGAUGGAUGGAAUCGCGGUGCAUUAGCUGGUGGGGGGGGUAACGGCUCACCAAGGCCACGAUGCAUAGCCGACCUGAGAGGGUGAUCAGCCACACUGGGACUGAGACACGGCCCAGACUCCUACGGGAGGCAGCAGUGGGGAAUCUUCGGCAAUGGACGAAAGUCUGACGGAGCAACGCCGCGUGAGUGAAGAAGGUUUUCGGAGCGUAAAGCUCUGUUGUUAGAGAAGCGGUAUCUAACCAGGAAGCCACGGCUAACUACGUGCCAGCAGCCGCGGUAAUAC